AGUGAACGCUGGCGGUAGGCCUAACACAUGCAAGUCGAACGGCAGCACAGUAAGAGCUUGCUCUUACGGGUGGCGAGUGGCGGACGGGUGAGGAAUACAUCGGAAUCUACUUUUUCGUGGGGGAUAACGUAGGGAAACUUACGCUAAUACCGCAUACGACCUACGGGUGAAAGCAGGGGAUCUUCGGACCUUUCGCGAUUGAAUGAGCCGAUUUCGGAUUAGCUAGUUGGCGGGGUAAAGGCCCACCAAGGCGACGAUCCGUAGCUGGUCUGAGAGGAUGAUCAGCCACACUGGAACUGAGGCACGGUCCAGACUCCUACGGGAGGCAGCAGUGGGGAAUAUUGGACAAUGGGCGCAAGCCUGAUCCAGCCAUACCGCGUGGGUGAAGAAGGCCUUCGGGUUGUAAAGCCCUUUUGUUGGGAAAGAAAAGCAGCAGGUUAAUACCCCGCUGUUCUGACGGUACCCAAAGAAUAAGCACCGGCUAACUUCGUG
rnacentral:rRNA from 1 species